AACAGGACGACAGUUUGUUGGAUUCUGCCAUAUCAAGAAAACCACACAGCCAUUAAUGUACUCAAUGGAGCAUUUGUGUGCGUUGUACAUCCAUUGCCGAUUCAUCUACAAAGUAUUACCGAACCAAAGAUAUUCUGAUCAUCCAUACAAUUAUACAUAAAAUAUAACAAAUAUGAUACAAAUACCAUUAAACUCAAAUGUUGCUGAAAGUUUAGAUAGAAAUACACAAAUUUAA
rnacentral:lncRNA from 1 species